rnacentral:lncRNA from 1 species
CUGCGAAGUGCACUGCUAGGAAACCUCUGGAAUCAAGCCCUGAGACUUCCUCACUUGAAAAAAGCAGGGCAUCAUUGAUGAAGUAUUUCUUGAAAGAGCAUCCUUCUAACAUCUCUAAAAUUAUUCUGCAAGGUGAUCUCCUUCAUCUGUAAGUGUUACCAUAAGUGCACCUAAAAUU